rnacentral:rRNA from 1 species
GACAGAGGGUGCAAACGUUGUUCGGAAUUACUGGGCGUAAAGCGCGUGUAGGCGGCCAUCUAAGUCGGGCGUGAAAUCCCACGGCUCAACCGUGGAAGUGCACUCGAAACUGGAUGGCUAGAGUCCUGGAGAGGAAGGUGGAAUGCUUGGUGUAGAGGUGAAAUUCGUAGAUAUCAAGCGGAACACCGGUGGCGAAGGCGGCCUUCUGGACAGUGACUGACGCUGAGACACGAAAGCGGUGGGUAGCAAACCGAG